rnacentral:rRNA from 1 species
GAGAGUUGAUCAUGGCUCAGAACGAACGCUGGCGGCGAUGGAUAGGCAUGCAAGUCGAACGGGAGCAGCAAUGCUCCAGUGGCGCAAGGGUGAGGAACACGUGAACAACCUGCCUUCGGAGUUGGGGAUAGCUUCUGGAAACGGGAGAUAAUACCGAAUAACAUCACCGGAUCGCAUGAUCUGAUGAUCAAAGCAGCAAUGCGCUUGAAGAGGGGUUCGCGUCCCAUUAGCUAGUUGGUGAGGUAACGGCCCACCAAGGCGAUGAUGGGUAGCUGGUCUGAGAGGACGAUCAGCCACAUUGGGACUGAGAUACUGCCCAGACUCCUACGGGAGGCUGCAGUCGAGAAUUUUGGGCAAUGGACGAAAGUCUGACCCAAGCAAUGCCGCGUGCGGGAUGAAGGUCUUCGGAUUGUAAACCGCUGUCAAGAGGGACGAAACAUGACGGUACCUCUGGAGGAAGCCACGGCUAACUACGUGCCAGCCGCGGC